rnacentral:rRNA from 1 species
UUCCCUCGGGCUGGCUUCGCGUGCUGCUCGCGCGGGCGGGGGGGGGACGGGAUCUUUGUGCNACANCCCCGGCGACUAGGAGUGUACGCCGCCNCAUCAUUGCCCACCUUGUGCAACGUAGGGACUUCCAGGUGAUACUNUCCUGGUUCGCUCCACCCCGCUUUCGCUCCUACCGCGUACGGAUACAUGGCCACAAGAAGUCCGGCCUUCGCCAGCCGGGUGUUCCUCCUGAUAUCUGCGCAUUUCACCGCUACACCAGGAAUUCCGAUCUCCCCUACCACACUCUAGCUAGCCCGUAUCGAAUGCAGACCCGGGGUUAAGCCCCGGGCUUUCACACCCGACGUGACAAGCCGCCUACAAGCUCUUUACGCCCAAUAAUUCCGGACAAUUCUUGCGCCCUACGUAUUACCGCGGCUGCUGGCACGUAGUUAGCCGGCGCUUCUUCUGCAGGUACCGUCACUUUCGCUUCUUCCCUGCUGAAAGAGGUUUACAACCCGAAGGCCGUCAUCCCUCACGCGGCGUCGCUGCAUCAGGCUUUCGCCCAUUGUGCAAUAUUCCCCACUGCUGCCUCCCGUAGGAGUCUGGGCCGUGUCUCAGUCCCAGUGUGGCCGGUCGCCCUCUCAGGCCGGCUACCCGUCGUCCCCUUGGUGAGCCAUUACCUCACCAACAAGCUGAUAGGCCGCGGGCUCAUCCUUCCCCGCCGGAGCUUUUCACCCCCNCCANAUGCCUUGCNGUAUUGGUAUCCCGGUUAUUAAACCCCCGUUUUCCAGGGCCUUGUCCCCAAAAUUUAAAGGGCCCAAUUGCCCCCCCUUUUUUAACUCCCCCCCGUUCCCCCCCCUAAUUCCCCCCCGCAAAAUUGUUUAUUUCGCUCCAAAUGUNCCUUUUUUUACCCCCCCCUCCACCCUUUUUCUUUCCAAACCCCAGGAAUACACACACCAAUUUUUUUCCCGGACG